UACGAAGGGUGCAAGCGUUAAUCGGAAUUACUGGGCGUAAAGCGUGCGUAGGCGGUUUGUUAAGUCCGUUGUGAAAGCCCUGGGCUCAACCCUGGGAAUUGCAGUGGAUACUGGCAAGCUAGAGUCAGGUAGAGGGUGGUGGAAUUCCCGUGUAGCGGUGAAAUGCGUAGAGAUCGGGAGGAACAUCUGUGGCGAAGGCGGCCACCUGGACCAUGACUGACGCUGAAGCACGAAAAGCGUGGGGAGCAA
rnacentral:rRNA from 1 species